rnacentral:rRNA from 1 species
UACGUAGGGUGCGAGCGUUAAUCGGAAUUACUGGGCGUAAAGCGUGCGCAGGCGGCUUUGCAAGACAGAUGUGAAAUCCCCGGGCUCAACCUGGGAACUGCAUUUGUGACUGCAAGGCUAGAGUACGGCAGAGGGGGAUGGAAUUCCGCGUGUAGCAGUGAAAUGCGUAGAUAUGCGGAGGAACACCAAAGGCGAAGGCAAUCCCCUGGGCCUGUACUGACGCUCAUGCACGAAAGCGUGGGGAGCAAACAGG